rnacentral:rRNA from 1 species
GAUGAACGCUGGCGGCGUGCUUAACACAUGCAAGUCGAACGGAAAGGCUCCUGCUUGCAGGGGUACUCGAGUGGCGAACGGGUGAGUAACACGUGGGUGAUCUGCCCUGCACUUCGGUAUAAGCCUGGGAAACUGGGUCUAAUACCGGAUAGGACGAUGGUUUGGAUGCCAUUGUGGAAAGUUUUUUCGGUGUGGGAUGAGCUCGCGGCCUAUCAGCUUGUUGGUGGGGUAAUGGCCUACCAAGGCGUCGACGGGUAGCCGGCCUGAGAGGGUGUACGGCCACAUUGGGACUGAGAUACGGCCCAGACUCCUACGGGAGGCAGCAGUGGGGAAUAUUGCACAAUGGGAGCAAGCCUGAUGCAGAGACGCCGCGUGGGGGAUGACGGCCUUCGGGUUGUAAACUCCUUUCGCUAGGGACGAAGCGCAAGUGACGGUACCUGGAGAAGAAGCACCGGCUAACUACGUG